AGUCAAAGAAUCACACAAAUCACAAUCAGAGCAGAAAAGCUCAUCGCAAUGGAAUUAAAAAGCCAAAGAAGUACAGACACGAAUCUACCCUUGGUAUGGAUUUGAAAUUCCUGCGUAACCAGCGUUUUGCUAAGAAGCACAACUUGAAGCCUAAGGCACAGCUCAAGAGAGCAGCUGAACGCAAGGCUGUCCGUGAAGCCAAGAAAUAAACUUCUGUCUAUUCUCAUGUACUUCUUAAAAUAAAAAUUUUAAACUAA